ensembl:lncRNA
AAACUUGGGGACGUGGCUCUGAUGCAAUAAGGACUCUUCGACCAUUUCAAAGCAAUAAACAUGAGCGACGAUUUGUUCAACGUGUGCGAUGAAAGAUCUUCAACUUCAUUUCAAUUUUUCAGAUUGCUAAUGCGAAGCUGCUGCCAGCGACACGCGGAGCUUCAACACCUUUGGCCUCUGAUGGAAACCGAAGGGGCUAUCUCAUAGGAAGUGGAAGUAGGAGCGUCCCUCUCUCUCUCUCUCUCUCUCUCUCACACACACCCCCGCCGUCGUCCACUCGCCUUCCC